UUCUCAAAAAAGAACAACAAAAAAAAACCCGAGAGGAGGAGUUUGGAGACAUUCUAGAUAACUGCAAGGCAUGGAGGUUCCCACAGGAUGGCCUCCAGGCCUCUUCCCAGUACCUUGCCCUGUGCAUCUUUUCAUCUGUACUCUUUGUACUACCCUUUGUAAUAAACUGGUAAAUGUGUUUCCAUGAGUUCUGUGAGCUACUCUAGCAAAUUAAUCAAAUUCAAGGAGCGGGUCAUGGGAACGCUGAUCUAACCAGUUGGUGAGAAGCACAGAUAAAACAACCUGAGGCUUAGGACUGACAUCAGAAUUGAGGGCAGCCUUGUGAGACUGAGCCCUAAACCUGUGACACAUUAUCUCCAGGUAGAUAGUGUUGGAAUUGAAUUGGGGGACACCCAGCUGUGUCCACUGCAAAAUUGCUUGCUUGGUCAUUGGUGGAGAGAAAGCCGCACACACUUCUUGGUGACCACAGGUUACAGAAGUAUUUUGUGUUGUGAGAGUAUAGUAGGAAAGAUUUUUUUCCUCCACAGGUUGGAUGUGGGAAACGAAGAAAAAGAUAGAAGUGGAGGAUGAUGCCUAGGUUUUUGGCCUAUGUAACGGGAAAAGUGGGAGAGGAACAGGUUGCGGGAGAAAAGUCAAGAGUUCUCUGGUUUCCCUGCCCUCCCAUUCAAAGGCCAGGAAAUUUCUACAGCUAGGCAGGGUGAUUGGCUCUAGCAUUGCUUAAUUUCAGUCCUCAAAUUCAAGAGCUUACACAGGGAUCUUCUUCCUCUUCUCCCAGUAGAGGGAAGGGUGGUGACACACAGUGAAAAACAUGUUGGCCUUCUUCAUACUGAGUUUGAGUCCCACUUCUGUCAUUUCUUUCUUUUAUGAACUUGUGCAAGUCACUACUUUCCAAGCUGCAAUUUCCUCAUCUCUUAGGUUGAAUGUGAGAACUUCCUGGUAGGAUUGUUAUGAGCAUUAACUGAGUGUUUACUUUGUGCUGUAUCUUGUUCUAAGUGUAUUUGGAUAUUCACUAGUUUAAUCCUCAUAACAAAUGGAUGAGGUGUAGGUACUACUAUUUUCACUCUCUGACAGAUAAGGAAACUGAGGUAUAGAACGUUAUUAAGUAGGUUGCCCAGUCAUAAGCCAGUAAAUGGAGGAGCUGGAUUUGAAUUCUGGCAGGCUGCAGAAUCCUGGGCCUGGGUUCUUAGCUGCUAAGUGCUUCUCCCUUUAAAGUGUGAAAAGUGCCUGCCCAUCAUGGAUUCUCAAGUGUUCAUUCUGAUGUCACCUCCAUUGUCCGACCUUCCUCCCUUACCCCGAAGAGCCGAAACAUGCAGACCCUGAGCUUGCCCACGAUCUAGGGCCUGGGUCUUCUGUUCUUUCACUUGGCUCCCUUGCCUGUGUCUCUGUUCCUCUCUAGAACCUUCAUGGCAAAAGGCAAGACUUCUGUGUGUUGUACCUGACUUGUGGCACUGUCUCUUUAGGUGGACAUCUUCAAUAAGGAGCUACUGCUAAUCCCCAUCCACCUGGAGGUGCAUUGGUCCCUCAUCUCUGUCGAUGUGAGGCGACGCACCAUCACCUAUUUUGACUCGCAGCGUACCCUAAACCGCCGCUGCCCUAAGCAUAUUGCCAAGUAUCUGCAGGCAGAGGCGGUAAAGAAAGACCGACUGGAUUUCCACCAGGGCUGGAAAGGUUACUUCAAAAUGAAUGUGGCCAGGCAGAAUAAUGACAGUGACUGUGGUGCUUUUGUGUUGCAGUACUGCAAGCAUCUGGCCCUGUCUCAGCCAUUCAGCUUCACCCAGCAGGACAUGCCCAAACUUCGUCGGCAGAUCUACAAGGAGCUGUGUCACUGCAAACUCACUGUGUGAGCCUCGUACCCCAGACCCCAAGCCCAUUAAUGGGAAGGGGGACAUGGGAGUCCCUUCCCAGGAAACUCCAGUCCCUUUCCUCUCUCGCCUCUUCCCACUCAGUUCCCUUUGGUUUUUCAUAUUUAAAUGUUUAAAUUUCUGUUUUUUUUUUUUCUUUGAGAGAAUACUUGUUGAUUUUUGAUGGGCAGGGGGUGGCUACAGAAAAGCCCCUUUCUUCCUCUGUUUGCAGGGGAGUGUGGCCCCGUGGCCUGGGUGGAGCAGUCAUCCUCCCCUUUCCCCGUGCAGGGAGCAGGAAAUCAGUGCUGGGGGUGGUGGGCGGGCAAUAGCAUCACUGCCUGCCAGAUCUUCAAACUUUUAUUUAUAUAUAUAUAUAUUUAUAUAUAUAUAUAUAUAUAUAUAUAUGUAAGUGCCACGGUCCUGCUCUGGUCAAUAAAGGAUCCUUUGUUGAUAC